GACGAACGCUGGCGGCGUGCUUAACACAUGCAAGUCGAACGGAAAGGCCCUGCUUUUGUGGGGUGCUCGAGUGGCGAACGGGUGAGUAACACGUGAGUAACCUGCCCUUGACUUUGGGAUAACUUCAGGAAACUGGGGCUAAUACCGGAUAGGAGCUCCUGCUGCAUGGUGGGGGUUGGAAAGUUUCGGCGGUUGGGGAUGGACGCGCGGCUUAUCAGCUUGUUGGUGGGGUAGUGGCUUACCCAGGCUUUGACGGGUAGCCGGCCUGAGAGGGUGACCGGCCACAUUGGGACUGAGAUACGGACCAGACUCCUACGGGAGGCAGCAGUGGGGAAUAUUGCACAAUGGGCGGAAGCCUGAUGCAGCAACGCCGCGUGCGGGAUGACGGCCUUCGGGUUGGAAACCGCUUUCGCCUGUGACGAAGCGUGAGUGACGGUAAUGGGUAAAGAAGCACCGGCUAACUACGUG
rnacentral:rRNA from 1 species